UGUACCCUAUUUUGUACAUUAUUAACUUUUUCUUUUCUUCAAUUUGUUUAUAUGGUUAUUUAUAAUGUUUUCUAUGCGGGUAGUCUGUUUUUCUAAAGAGUGAAGAUAUAGAUUAGUAUAAUUAUUUUGUUAUAUUAUAUGUGGAAGUAGUUCAAUUUUAUGGAUAUGUUCUCCUUGAAUUAUUUUAUAUGGUGAAGCUCUAGAUUCUAGCUGUCCUUUGUUUAUGAUAAGAGAUUUUUCAGGGGGAUGUAUACUUCUUCACUUCCUUCUGUUGUCUCGAAAGUCUGAUAUUGACUUUCAAUAGUAUUUAUUUUAAAGUCUGGCAUAGAGUACCCUUUUUCUUUGAGAGUAGCUUUUAGCCAGUCAAAGUAUUUAAUAUUCUGUUUGUGUUCUUUUAAAAAUUUAUUAUAUCUUUUAUGGCACUUAUCUAUUAAUUUUUUCGGAAAAGUUUGUAACUACCAAUUUCUUAUUUGUUCAUUUUGUGCUGAUAGGUAAUCAUUUUCUAAAUAUUCUAAGUUUAUUUUUUCUUUUUUCUGCAUGGUCAAAACCUGCAGGUCUAAAUCAGACAGGGUAACUUCAUUGGUUGAAGGGCUAGGAUCUAUUGGCUGGUAUAGGGGUAAAUGAAUAUUACUAGUUGUUCUGGACAAUCCUUGUAUUCUAGGUUCAUCGCUUAUUGAUGAGGUGGAGGAUCUUGAAGGAGUAGGUAUCCUUCUUGAUCGUUUGAUUGUACUGUCAUCCAGUAUGUUUAAUCUAAUUCUUCGACUAGAAUUGAAAUGUAGUUCAAUAUCUCCAUCUGGAUGUUCAAUUAUUUGUUUGGGGGUAUUUACAUAUGCUAGGUAUUGUUGAUUUUCGUUAUGGAUGGUCCAAGUUUUUGGCAGAUUUAUUUGGGACCAAUCUACUGACUUUGGAAUUACUGUAUUUGAUUUUUCCAUGUUUGUCUGGAAAAAUACAGUCUGACCUUUUGUAUCAAUUUGUAAUACGUUUGGGCUAAGCGUAUUCAUUACUUUAUAGCAAAUCCUGUAUAUUAAAGCAAUGUUUUGAGAUCUUGGAUUCAUAUCAAAUCCAUGAGUUUUCAAAUUAAGUGUAAGGACCUUAAAAAGGUUGGGAUCACUUAAAGAUACCGAAAAAUUAGGAAAACAAUUGAAAUAUACCGGACCACUAUACAGACUUGAUUCUACUAUUUCUAAUAAUGAAUCUGUAAAUUUAUUGUGACGACUAUCUCGUAGACAUAGCAAUAUUGAAUUAUUUAGUCCUAAUCUUGUAAGAGGUUUAAUUGCUACUUGUAUUAGUCCUAUAUGCAAAUAUUUAUAAUUUUUAUUUUUAUGUGAUUGAAUUAUUUUAUUUGAUAAUAAUUGAAAACUUUCCUGUUCACUGGUGACUGAUAAACUUUGUUCAACUGUUUUGAUAGCAUAACCUACUUUUAGAUCAAAUGUUCCCUUUUUAUAUAUAUCAGUUAUUGGGAUUUUAGGAAUAUUCCAAUUCUGUAUCUGUUUUUCUAUAUUUUCAAUUACUAUUUCUUCUUUAUUUUUAAUUCUUAAUGUGCUACUAGUUGGAGCUAAAGUCUUAAUAAAAUUUUCCAUUUGGAGUUACGGAUAAUGACUCUAGGCAACCUCUUAUGUCUCUGCGACCUCAGCGGCUCUUCCUGGCCUUAACGGUCAAUUGGAUUGGGCGCCAAUGGUCUUAAAUCUCAGACUAACUUCCUAAAUGGAUAAAUUUUAUUAAGUUGCUAGACUUUAGGAUUUUAAGUCCAACAACUUAAAGCACUAUGCUACUGUGGAACUAUGGUACUAUGGCUCUGAUACCAACAUAACCAAGACCGAUUUUAAACAACAUAACCAAGACACUAUUCUCAAUAGAAAUAUUCAACUAAACAGUUUAACAAAUUUUAGAUAAAGUAAAACAAGUAUUAUCACAAAUACAGAGAAGGGAGAUAUGUCUAAAAUUAUCCAACUAGUAUGUAUAAUACCUCAAAUUUUAAUACUGAAAAUAAACUUUAUUUGUAUAACACACAAUAACUAAUCAUUUAUUGAUAUCAGGAUUAUGAUACAGAAAUACAGAAAAUUACAAGACUUACUGAGAGCAAAUACAGAAACUAUGAAAUAGUUCCAUUUGUCAGGGCAGUAACUAGGAAGAGAACUGAGAUUACAGUCGCACAUCUAUUUUACAGAAACAUGAAAGUACAAAAUAGGGUACAAAAACAGUUACCCGGAGUAUUUGCAGAGUUCAAAGAAGUACAACUUCCGGUAGGUCUAUAGAGGAAAGUGUAGAACUAGGUAAGAAGUAAGAGUAUAUACAAAAAGAGAAGAGGGAAGGAGAAGAUGAGGGAUGGAAGUGGAUGAAGCAGGGAGCGGAUCUCUUAAGGCUCCUCUUCAGACUUGCUUCUCUUGCGAGGACUUCUUCUUCCUUUUAUAGAGUCCGAAACUCAAAGAAUUAUUCAAUAUUUGUAUAAGUCCGUAUCUUUAAUAAUAUCUUUUUGGCAGGUAGUGCUUUACUGUGGCAAGCUGGAAGUACGGAUGGUGUUAGUGGAGGCACUGUGCUGUCGGUGGAGGUACUGUGGUGUCGGUGGAGGCACUGUUCGAUGGAUAGAGGGAAUCUCUUUUGUUCAAGUGGGAGACAGGUAGACAGUGGGAAUCUCUUUUAUUCAAGUGGGAGACAUGUAUUUUGGAUUUUAUAGGGCCUUCACUGGGUCUUCAAACUUUAUUCGAGCUUUUGUGAAAAGUCUCCAUAGUCGAGCCUUUGUAGAAGUUCUUCAUCCUCCAUUCCUGUUUCAGCAUCGUCUUCAUUUUGAGAAGAGAGUGUCAUAUUAUCUGCUUCUUCUUCAAACAUUUGUAAUAAUUGUUUAUUUAAUUCCUCCUUGGUUGCCUGCGGGUUCUGUUUUUUCAUUUUAUUGAUGUAUUCUGAAAAACUAUUUAGGUUUUCAUAUUGGGCUUGCCCUAGUAUUUUCUUCAAUAUUAUUUUCUCUGGUUCUAGAGCUUUAUUUUCAAAUACAUCCCACCAUUUUAUAAAGAUCUUUUUUCCCAAUCUUGGGAUAUAUUCAAAAUUGUUAGUUGUAUUCUCAGAUAUUCCAUAUUGCCACUUCAUAAUCCCUGGUAUUUGGUAAAUAGCCAUGAAGUAUAGGUGGUAGUCUAUAUUGGGAUCCUUUCCAUUGAAUUCAAAAAAUUUAGCUUGAGAUACUUGUAGGCUUUGAGGAAGAAUUUGGGAGCCUGAGCCCCAGAUUAAGAACCAGUUUCGAAACCAAUUGGGGAAUGUCUCAAGGAUAGGCAUUUUAAUUUGGAUAAACCAGAGUAUUCUAGAUAAGAUGCAGGUGACAAAGGUGGAUAGCUCAUUAUUGGGGAUUCUACAGGAAGGUGAUUAUCAGUACCAGGGAGAUGUUCAAUAGUAAAGUCAAAAGAGGAAGGAAUAGCUUGCCAACGAGCAAAGAUUUGUUUAGAAAUCAGAUUUUUGACAUCUUUAAGCAAGAUGUCUUUGGCUGCUUUACAAUCAGUUCGUAUUAAAAAUGUUGUAUUGAGGAUAUCACUCUGGAAUUUAGUAACGCAGUGGCCUAUUGCUAAUAUUUCCUUUUUUAUAGUGGAAUAAUUUUGUUGUGUACUAUUCCAUGCUUUGGAUGUGAACCGAACUAGUUGUUCUCUAUUAUCAAUUCUUUGUUUGAGUAUUCCUCCGAAUCCGAGUUCGGAGGCAUCAAAUUUUA